GAGCAGGCCCCGUUCAGCCCUUUGUGUGAGGACAGGCUCCCUGGGGAUGAGGAAGCACAAAGUGACUGGCUGCUUCAGCUGAGCUGAAGACCCUGUGGAGACCCCAGCCCGGAUGCCACCUCCCAGAGGGCCAGAGUCCUCCUUCCCCAGAGUGGUCAUGCUCUGGCCAAAUUAAAUCAAAUAUCAUCAUCGAAGCAAACACGCACUUGAAGCCUCUGUGCCUGCGCUUCCCUGCCUGAGAGAAAGCUCCGCCAGGCCUGGAGGAUGCAGCUGGAUGGCCCACAGGCCCAGCUCAAGUCUCCCAACACCACUGGCAGGGAUGGUGGCUGUGCCAGCAUGUUCUCCGCUGAUGGGACUGCUCUGGCGAGAAGGAAAAGAGAAGCUGCGUGCCGGAGGGGAAGGAACUGCUGCAGUGAUGGCCUUGGGAGGGUGAGGGGCAAGAGAGGCAGCCGGUCAGCAUCCAGGCGAUGCAGAGCUGCCACAAGGCUGCACUUCUCUUGGUGGAGGAGGAGGCAUGGUACGGCUGUCCACUGAGGGAGGACAGGUGGUGAUGCUGCGGGCAGGCCCACAGCAGAGGAAGCACUGGAUUUAGUUAGAUGGGAGAGUCCAGGUGAGUAGGAGGGAGAGGGAGUGGGUCAGGGUUCGAGGGGAGAGAUUACAAGGACAGAACCUGACUCUGAGUUGGGUGAAGAGGGAGGUGAGGGUUGGGGAGGGUCCACAGAGGGUGUGCUCUGUGGGGUCCAGGAAGUGAGGCACAAGAGCAGGAAGUGGGAGUCAAAGAAGCAACUCCCAGAGGGUGGGAGGCUCAAACAGGAAUUACAGAGGGGCCUGGGUGGUGGCAUGCUGACCCAGGGAGGGCAAGGGCUGUGAGACAGGUAGAGAGUGAAGUCACCUGGGGAGACUCACAGGAGUCAGUGGUGGGCCCUGACAAGACUGUCCAUGUGGACUCUGAGUCCCCAGGAGGUAGGACAGGGCAGCGCUGGAGUGGCCUCAGGCUGGGCACGGUGGUGCCUGUGAUGAACCACAUCACUGGGGAGUUCUCUGCAGCAUUAUCAAUCAUGAUAAAAGGUUAGAAACAAGCUGGUGUCUGUCAACAGGGAGGUGGUUAAAUAAAAGCAUGGCAUUCUCUGGCCGGGCGCGGUGGCUCACGCCUGUAAUCCCAGCACUUUGGGAGGCCAAGGUGGGCAGAUCACGAGGUCAGGAGAUCAAGACCAUCCUGACUAACGUGGUGAAACCCCGUCUCUACUAAAAAUACUA
rnacentral:lncRNA from 1 species